UUCGAUCGCGGAGCNGCUCNGNGGAUUUAAAUUGCCGCAAUUAUUUGUGCUAAGGUAGCAUAAUCAUUCGUUUUUUAAUUGAAAUCUAGAACAAACGAUUAUACAUUUUAAUUAACUUCUUAUUUUAAAUUUAUAAAUUAUCUUAUAUGUAAAAAGACAUAUAUAAAAAAGAAAGACGACAAGACCCUAUUGAACUUAACUUUAGUUACACUGGGGCAGUAAAUUAAUUAAUAUUUUAAUUUAAUUAAACAACUAAAAGACCUAAUAUAAUUAAUUAACUAAUCAAUGUUACCAUAGGGAUAACAGCGUAAUAUUAAUUUAAAGUCCUAAUAAAAAUAAAUGUUUACGACCUCGAUGUUGAAUUAAUUAUCCUAUUCAAGCAAGAUUGAAUAUUUAAAGUCUGUUCGACUUAUAAAAAUUUACAUGAUCUGAGUCAAAACCGGAGA
rnacentral:rRNA from 1 species